GCAUAUCAAUAAGCGGAGGAAAAGAAACCAACAGGGAUUGCCCCAGUCAACGGSRAGUGAAGCKGCAACAKCUSAAWUUGAAAUCUGGCCCUCGGGWCCGAGUUGUAAUUUGUAGAGGAUGCUUUUGGCGCGGUGCCUUCCGAGUUCCCUGGAACGGGACGCCUUAGAGGGUGAGAGCCCCGUACGGUUGGACACCAAGCCUCUGUAAAGCUCCUUCGACGAGUCGAGUAGUUUGGGAAUGCUGCUCUAAAUGGGAGGUAAAUUUCUUCUAAAGCUAAAUAUUGGCCAGAGACCGAUAGCGCACAAGUAGAGUGAUCGAAAGAUGAAAAGCACUUUGAAAAGAGGGUUAAAUAGCACGUGAAAUUGUUGAAAGGGAAGCGUUUGCGACCAGACCUCUCCCCGGCGGAUCAUCCGGCGUUCUCGCCGGUGCACUCCGCCGGGCUGAGGCCAGCAUCGGUUCCCGCGGGGGGACAAAAGCGGGGGGAACGUAGCUCCCUCGGGAGUGUUAUAGCCCUCCGCAUAAUACCCUCGCGGGGACCGAGGACCGCGCUUCGGCAAGGAUGCUGGCGUAAUGGUCGUCAACGACCCGUCUUGAAACACGGACCAAGGAGUCGAACAUUUGUGCGAGUGUUUGGGUGUCAAACCCUCACGCGUAAUGAAGGUGAACGUAGGUGAGAGCCCUCGCGGGCGCAUCAUCGACCGAUCCUGAUGUCUUCGGAUGGAUUUGAGUAAGAGCAUAACUGUUCGGACCCGAAAGAUGGUGAACUAUGCGUGGAUAGGGUGAAGCCAGAGGAAACUCUGSYGGAGGCUSGCAGSGGYUCKKACGUSMMAUCGAUMGUMAAWYYRCSCMUGGGGGCGAAAGACUUAUCGAACCAUCUAGUAGCUGGUUACCGCCGAAGU
rnacentral:rRNA from 1 species